UGGUGAGUUCUGAGCAUUACAACACAGAGCCAUCGAAAACACAAGCAUGCAUGCAAUGGAAACUGGAAUUUUCAAAAACCCCAUUUUUAAAAAAAAUAUUUGUG